AUUGAACGCUGGCGGCAUGCCUUACACAUGCAAGUCGAACGGCAGCACGGGAGCAAUCCUGGUGGCGAGUGGCGAACGGGUGAGUAAUAUAUCGGAACGUGCCCAGUCGUGGGGGAUAACGCAGCGAAAGCUGUGCUAAUACCGCAUACGAUCUAGGGAUGAAAGCGGGGGAUCGCAAGACCUCGCGCGAUUGGAGCGGCCGAUAUCAGAUUAGCUAGUUGGUGGGGUAAAGGCCCACCAAGGCGACGAUCUGUAGCUGGUCUGAGAGGACGACCAGCCACACUGGAACUGAGACACGGUCCAGACUCCUACGGGAGGAAGCAGUGGGGAAUUUUGGACAAUGGGCGCAAGCCUGAUCCAGCAAUGCCGCGUGCAGGAUGAAGGCCUUCGGGUUGUAAACUGCUUUUGUACGGAACGAAACGGCCCUUUCUAAUACAGGGGGCUAAUGACGGUACCGUAAGAAUAAGCACCGGCUAACUACGUGCCAGCCGCCGCCGUAA
rnacentral:rRNA from 1 species